CUGUACUGGGACAGAAAACAGUGAGGUUCGGUGUCAGUCUUGGAGCCAGGGCUGACAGCCUGUGCAGCGUCGGCAGCACCAACAGUGCACAACCAUCUCUUUGGUUAAAUGUUGUACUGCAGUGCUCCCUGAAUGAAAGGGUAAAUGGAUUAUAUUACUCGUUCAUCGAAAACACUUUACUUUUUCCACUUCUGCAGAUGUUCUUAUCUGUACUUGCCUGCACACUUACCAGUAGUUGUGCUCUUAUUUUUCCCUCAGUGCAAUGCAAUGCAUACAGAUUUACCUUUCACUGAGACAGGAGCAAGUAUGUGAACACACAUGUAGGAAUUAUUGUUUGGUGAAAUCAGGAAGACACAACUCUGUUGUCCAAAACUUCUGUCAGUAUCUCAAAGUGGAAAGAACUCUGUAGAUUCACAAAACAGUUUUCAGAGCUCAGUGGAAUUAUUCGGUUUAUAUAUGGAUAAGAGUUGAUUCUUUGAAUUAGAUGACUUUGGUUAAUUGCAACAUCUGUUUCAUUGGCCCUUUGCUUCAGUUAAAGCUCAAGUUCCUUUACUGGUCUUAUUACAAGGAACCUGAGUGCACUGAGUUCCUUCAUUUAUACAGUGCCUUUAUAUCCUGCUAACUUUAGCACAUUUUCUCCAGAUGAUUGAUGGGCGUGCUGUGCCUCAUGUAAAGUAAAAGGCACUGAGUGAAUUCAGCAUAAAAAAAUCUUUUAGCAGUACGAGGGGUGUCUACUGUGGUAGUGCAAUUACAUCGGUGUAGCUUAGGUGUGAGGUAGCUCUUCUUUCAGACUGGCUGUUAGAACGAGGGGAGCAAUGGAGUCCCAGUGACUUUAGAAUUGUCACCUGUUACAAGUGAGAGAUUUCAAUUAUUUUUUAAUUAAAAAUCACAUCCCACGAUUCUUGUUAAGCACUUUUAGGGUCAUGGUGAUAAGAAAAGUAAAACUGCUUGCAAAAAGGUAUUUCUCAGUGGUCCAAAGCUGCUCUGAAAUAUCGCCAUUAAACAACAACAGCAAAACAGACUGGCUUGUCCAACUGGUCUCGUUCCAAAGGUCCAACACCUUUGGAAUCCAAGAUGAAACUGGCACUGACAAUAGGGGAGUCAGGUAUUUCUCAUAUAGGCCAAAAGACAAUCAGUGUUCUGAGUAUCUUGUAAUGCAAUUACAAACAAGAACAAUGAGAACAAGGAAACAGUGAGCCAAAAUUGGGCUGCAUUGUAAGCAGGAGUGAUAUAAUCCUUGCCCUAUUAGUAUCAAUUCUUUUAAUAGGGACUGUGACAGGUGAGAGAUUUAAAAGAGUCCUUAAAAUAGCACAUUUAUGCUGUGGUUCCACAUGCAUUUCUGCAGCAGUAGUAAUGUUGAUUUAAGCAGCUCUACCUCAGCUGAUUGUUCUUUUUCCUGUCCCACCCAUUCUUCUGUGUUCAUGCAGGUGUUUGUGCAGAUGUGAGGCAGAGCAUCAAGCUGACAAACAAUUAUUCUUUUCCCUUGAUUGUCUUUCAGCCAAUCCGUUCUCCCAUCUGGUUUAUCAGAGAGCGACACAAAAAUCUGUGCUGGUCUAUUCUGGGGGGACUGUGCAGGUCUGAUUGUUAGGAGCUCCGGGCAACUUUUCAGUAUUGUUGGAAAAUGAGAAAAUGCAGCCUAAUGGGGCACUGCACAUAGUUAGGGGAAAACUGACAGAAAUUAUACUUAAGUGCUUGAAUUUUAAAUGCAUGUGAAAAAGAAGGAGGAAAGAGAUGAAUGGCAAAGGAGCCUUGACGCUGAGGUAGUUUACACUUAAGACUGUGGAAAAGUUAGAGCUAGGGAUUGAAAGAAAGGGAAAUGGAAAGUCCUCUUUUCCAAAUAUAUCAUUUUCCAUUUUCUUAGAACUAAAGGAAAUAUUACACCACCACUUUUUUUGUUUUGUUUUUCUUUUUUUUCUGUACAGUGCAUACAGCCAGAAUCUCUAUGAAGUUGUUAGCUUUAUUGUGGAGGAGAAGAGUCUCUACUUACAUUCUCCAAAAUUCAGAGGGGCCAGCAGAAAGAAGAAAGGACCAAAUGUGCCAUACUAGAAUCUCUGAAGAAAAAGAAAUACAUGGUUACAAGUAGGAACGGGAAACAACAAAUUCGUAAUGGAGAGAACAGCUACAGAAUGAGGUAACUGUACCAGAUUGAGAUUUUCAGAUGAAUGUGAAGAAUUAUAAGGAUAAAGUCGAACCAGUUUAUAAAGGUGAUCACAAUCUUGUUUUCUGGGUCUACAUUCAGUAUGAAAUGUUUCACAGAAUCUUUAAAAGCAUAAAACUAUGCAUACAAAGACUUAGCUUGUUGCAUUACAUGGUUUAUACAGCACUGUCACAACCUUGCUCUGAACACCUGAAUAUUGCACUAUAAUAUACAGUAUCCAAUCAUAUAGGCAAAUGUGAG
ensembl:lncRNA